AAUUCUUCUUUCUUAACUCAUUCAAUUCUCUUUUAUUGAACAGAACUCUUUUCUCUCUCUCUCUGCUCUCCACCGCCCCUCUCUGUCCCUCUCUUUCCCGGCGAGCGUCGCCGGCCUUUGCCGCCUCCGGCGCGGCGAGGUCGGCCUCUUCUCUUCCCCCUUUCUUUCCUUCCAUUUCUUCUCAUUUCUCCUGAAUUUAGAAUAGAUCUAGGGUUUCUAAAUUUCCUGAAGUUUGUUCCUCCGAUGAACUCCGCCACUGCCGCCGCCGUGCUCGUCGCGCCGCCACCCCCUCUGAUUCAGGAGGAAUCGGUGAUUCAAGAUGGUUUGAGAUGGUUUCAUCGGCAGUUCAUCUACAGCCCAAGACUCCCGUUUAAAGACUCAGCCUUUUAUUAUUGAAUUAACUGUUGUAACUAAAUGUAUUCUCAAAGUGUUAAAGAAAAUUGAUGUUAUCUCUACUA